GAUGAACGCUGGCGGCGUGCCUAAUACAUGCGAGUCGAGCGAACAGACGAGGAGCUUGCUCCUCUGACGUUAGCGGCGGACGGGUGAGUAACACGUGGAUAACCUACCUAUAAGACUGGGAUAACUUCGGGAAACCGGAGCUAAUACCGGAUAAUAUAUUGAACCGCAUGGUUCAAUAGUGAAAGACGGUUUUGCUGUCACUUAUAGAUGGAUCCGCGCCGCAUUAGCUAGUUGGUAAGGUAACGGCUUACCAAGGCGACGAUGCGUAGCCGACCUGAGAGGGUGAUCGGCCACACUGGAACUGAGACACGGUCCAGACUCCUACGGGAGGCAGCAGUAGGGAAUCUUCCGCAAUGGGCGAAAGCCUGACGGAGCAACGCCGCGUGAGUGAUGAAGGUCUUCGGACCGUAAAACUCUGUUAUUAGGGAAGAACAAAUGUGUAAGUAACUAUGCACGUCUUGACGGUACCUAAUCAGAAAGCCACGGCUAACUACGUG
rnacentral:rRNA from 1 species